rnacentral:rRNA from 1 species
GACGAACGCUGGCGGCGUGCUUAACACAUGCAAGUCGAACGGAAAGGCCCUGCUUUUGUGGGGUGCUCGAGUGGCGAACGGGUGAGUAACACGUGAGUAACCUGCCCUUGACUUUGGGAUAACUUCAGGAAACUGGGGCUAAUACCGGAUAGGAGCUCCUGCUGCAUGGUGGGGGUUGGAAAGUUUCGGCGGUUGGGGAUGGACUCGCGGCUUAUCAGCUUGUUGGUGGGGUAGUGGCUUACCAAGGCUUUGACGGGUAGCCGGCAUGAGAGGGUGACCGGCCACAUUGGGACUGAGAUACGGCCCAGACUCCUACGGGAGGCAGCAGUGGGGAAUAUUGCACAAUGGGCGGAAGCCUGAUGAAGCAACGCCGCGUGCGGGAUGACGGCCUUCGGGUUGUAAACCGCUUUCGCCUGUGACGAAGCGUGAGUGACGGUAAUGGGUAAAGAAGCACCGGCUAACUACGUG